UGGGGUGAUGGCCUACCAAGGCGACGACGGGUAGCCGGCCUGAGAGGGCGACCGGCCACACUGGGACUGAGACACGGCCCAGACUCCUACGGGAGGCAGCAGUGGGGAAUAUUGCACAAUGGGCGGAAGCCUGAUGCAGCGACGCCGCGUGAGGGAUGACGGCCUUCGGGUUGUAAACCUCUUUCAGCAGGGACGAAGCGUAAGUGACGGUACCUGCAGAAGAAGCACCGGCCAACUACGUGCCAGCAGCCGCGGUAAGACGUAGGGUGCGAGCGUUGUCCGGAUUUAUUGGGCGUAAAGAGCUCGUAGGCGGCUUGUCGCGUCGACCGUGAAAACUUGGGGCUCAACCCCAAGCCUGCGGUCGAUACGGGCAGGCUAGAGUUCGGUAGGGGAGACUGGAAUUCCUGGUGUAGCGGUGAAAUGCGCAGAUAUCAGGAGGAACACCGGUGGCGAAGGCGGGUCUCUGGGCCGAUACUGACGCUGAGGAGCGAAAGCGUGGGGAGCGAACAGGAUUAGAUACCCUGGUAGUCCACGCUGUAAACGUUGGGCGCUAGGUGUGGGGGGCCUCUCCGGUUUCCUGUGCCGCAGCUAACGCAUUAAGCGCCCCGCCUGGGGAGUACGG
rnacentral:rRNA from 4 species